GAUGAACGCUGGCGGCGUGCCUAAUACAUGCAAGUCGAGCGAACAGACGAGGAGCUUGCUCCUCUGACGUUAGCGGCGGACGGGUGAGUAACACGUGGAUAACCUACCUAUAAGACUGGGGUAACUUCGGGAAACCGGAGCUAAUACCGGAUAAUAUAUUGAACCGCAUGGUUCAAUAGUGAAAGACGGUUUUGCUGUCACUUAUAGAUGGAUCCGCGCCGCAUUAGCUAGUUGGUAAGGUAACGGCUUACCAAGGCAACGAUGCGUAGCCGACCUGAGAGGGUGAUCGGCCACCCUGGAACGUAGCCACGGUCCAGACUCCUACGGGAGGCAGCAGUAGGGAAUCUUCCGCAAUGGGCGAAAGCCUGACGGAGCAACGCCGCGUGAGUGAUGAAGGUCUUCGGAUCGUAAAACUCUGUUAUUAGGGAAGAACAAAUGUGUAAGUAACUAUGCACGUCUUGACGGUACCUAAUCAGAAAGCCACGGCUAACUACGUG
rnacentral:rRNA from 1 species